rnacentral:rRNA from 1 species
AGAGUUUGAUCCUGGCUCAGGAUGAACGCUAGCGGCAGGCUUAACACAUGCAAGUCGAGGGGCAUCGGGAGGGAAGCUUGCUUUCCUUGCCGGCGACCGGCGCACGGGUGAGUAACACGUAUGCAACCUGCCCUCUUCAGGGGGACAACCUUCCGAAAGGGAGGCUAAUCCCGCGUAUAUCGGUUUCGGGCAUCCGAGAUCGAGGAAAGAUUCAUCGGAAGAGGAUGGGCAUGCGGCGCAUUAGCUUGACGGCGGGGUAACGGCCCACCGUGGCGACGAUGCGUAGGGGUUCUGAGAGGAAGGUCCCCCACACUGGUACUGGGACACGGACCAGACUCCUACGGGAGGCAGCAGUGAGGAAUAUUGGUCAAUGGGAGAGAUCCUGAACCAGCCAAGCCGCGUGAGGGAAGACGGCCCUAUGGGUUGUAAACCUCUUUUGUCGGAGAACAAAACCCGGGACGUGUCCCGGACUGCGUGUAUCCGAAGAAAAAGCAUCGGCUAACUCCGUG